rnacentral:misc_RNA from 1 species
GUAGGUGAACCUGCGGAAGGAUCAUUAACACGUAUCCAACGUUAAACAACCCUGUGAACCUUCAUUCCUGCUCUCCUUGUCCCUUGAUAAAGCAAUCCCUGGUAAAUCACGCGAACAGUUUGAUUCAGGGACCUCUUUUGAUACGCACUUGGAUUCGAUGCGGCGUCGUAAUUUAGACUUGGUUUCUGGAAGGCCAUCAACGAGUAAAAUCGUUGACGGACGUAAAGGAUGCUGCCUAAAAAGCAGAUCA